rnacentral:rRNA from 1 species
AGUGAACGCUGGCGGUAGGCCUAACACAUGCAAGUCGAACGGCAGCACAGUAAGAGCUUGCUCUUACGGGUGGCGAGUGGCGGACGGGUGAGGAAUACAUCGGAAUCUACUUUUUCGUGGGGGAUAACGUAGGGAAACUUACGCUAAUACCGCAUACGACCUACGGGUGAAAGCAGGGGAUCUUCGGACCUUGCGCGAUUGAAUGAGCCGAUGUCGGAUUAGCUAGUUGGCGGGGUAAAGGGCCACCAAGGCGACGAUCCGUAGCUGGUCUGCGAGGAUGAUCAGCCACACUGGAACUGAGACACGGUCCAGACUCCUACGGGAGGCAGCAGUGGGGAAUAUUGGACAAUGGGCGCAAGCCUGAUCCAGCCAUACCGCGUGGGUGAAGAAGGCCUUCGGGUUGUAAAGCCCUUUUGUUGGGAAAGAAAAGCAGCAGGUUAAUACCCCGCUGUUCUGACGGUACCCAAAGAAUAAGCACCGGCUAACUUCGUG